CCACAGCUGGCAGGGCUCUAACAUCAUUGACUUCUUCUGGUCCAUUGCAUCGACAAUAGUCACCAGCUUGCUGGCGUGUGGUCCACGAGCAAUGCAGACUACAAGGGCGCUCUCCAUGCACCACUUACGGAUCUGAAUGGACACAUUGUUGCUACAGUUCCUUUUGCAGUAAUGAACAGGGAAGAACGUUGGCUACUUAAGGGAUGCAUGGAGCCUCAACUAAAGAAGGAAGAUGGGGCUGUGGUAAAUGACGAUGGAGAGGAAAGGAGGCUGGAUCCUUGAUGUCACCAUUGCGCUGUUUACUGUACCCACCAGCUCACCCCUACUUUUUCCAGAUCCAGAGAGUGAAUGGCAGGAGGUGAAGCAGGCUCUGGGUAACAAAUAAGCCCCAGGUGGUGCAUACCAAGACCCAGCCCCACAAUGCAGUAAUGCAUUAACAGUAUUUCCCAUCAACGUCUUUUGAACCGUUUAUGUAUAUUUAAUAAACAUAUGGAAUUAAAUAUUUUAAAAUAGAUUUUUAGAAAAUGUUAAACAUUGAUUAAACAUCAAUAUUCUUUGGAGCGUAGAAGGUUGAGGGGGGACUUGAUAGAGGUGAUUAAAAUUAUAAGGGGGAUAGAUAGAGUUAAUGUGGAUAAGCUUUUUCCAUUGAGAAUGGGGGAGAUUCAAACAAGAGGACGUGAGUUGACAUGGGCAAAAGUUUAGGGGUAACACGAGGGGGAACUUCUUUACUCAGAGAGUGGUAGCUGUGUGGAAUGAGCUUCCAGCAGAAGUGUUGAGACAGGUUCGAUGUUGUUGUUUAAAGUUAAAUUGGAUAGAUAUAUGAACAGGAAAGAAAUGGAGGGUUAUGGGCUGAGUGCAGGUCGGUGGGUCUAGGUGAGAAUAAGAGUGCGGCACGGACUAGAAGGGCUGAGAUGGCCUGUUUCCAUGCUGUAAUUGUUAUAUGGUUAUAUGGUUAAAAGUCUAAAAUUUUAAAGUCCAUUUUCACACAGGGUUGGUAAAGGGGAUUUUACCUUUACACAAGCGUUCCCUGAGAGGGCAGGUGCAAAGUGCACACAAUCACUCCCCUCAGUAAGGCACAAUGGUGAUUGCAGUGGUAGAGUAGGUGGGGCAUCCAUUGCAUUGGGCACUUGUACCUCCAGCUCAACACACGUAUAGCCAAGUGUGUACUGCUGAUAGCUGGCAGCUCGCUACAUGUGAAUCAACACAUAGCCUAUUGCUGGGUUAGGAACUAGAAUCAUUGUCUGUGUAUUUUGCUUUCUGAGAACUCCAUGUCUUCUGAUGUUAAUGUCAAUGCAUUUCUUUGUAAAUAAAAAAAACUCUGCCUAGCAGUACUAACACACUGGAAAGAUUCUAAGCCUUUCAAAGUUCUGAGGCAUACUUUCAAAUGCCUUUUGUAUUGCUAUCAGGUCCAAUCAGCUGUGACACACCGCAUUUCUUCCACCUUAUCUGGAAGUCAUUAGCUCAGAUCAGCAAAUCCGUCACAAAGCUGUGCCUGAUAUAAACAAGAGAUCAGAACGACAUUCCUGGUAAUCAAUAGAAGGACCGCUCCAGUAUUGAAACCCCUCAAGUGCUUGUGAUUUUCCCCACUCUCCAUUUUUCUGACCAAAUGAAGCAUUAAUUCCAAUAAUAAAUCUGGGGUGAUUU